AUUGAACGCUGGCGGCAGGCCUAACACAUGCAAGUCGAGCGAGCGGAGGACGGGAGAGUAAUGUCUGGGACACUGCCUGAUGGAGGGGGAUAACAACUGGAAACGGUAGCUAAUACCGUAUACCCUCAGAUGUGCCCAGAGGGGAUUAGCUAGUAGGUUGGGUAACGGCACACCUAGGCGGCGAUCCCGAGCUGGUCUGAGAGGAUGACCAGCCACAGUGGAAACGAGACACGGGCCAGACUCCUACGGGAGGCAGCAGUGGGGAAUAUUGCACAAUGGGCGCAAGCCUGAUGCAGCCAUGCCGGGUGUAUGAAGAAGGCCUUCGGGUUGUAAAGUACUUUCAGCGGGGAGGCGUUACCCGCAGAAGAAGCACCGGCUAACUCCGUGCCAGCAGCCGCGGUAAUAC
rnacentral:rRNA from 1 species